rnacentral:lncRNA from 1 species
CUACAAUUAUUUCUUUAAUAAUAUAAUAACCCGAACUCCUUAAUUCAUCACUAAUUUAUAAACAUCUAACCAUCAUUCAAACAAGCAAAUUUUAUUUAGAUUAACAUCUAUAUUCCCUUGCCCAAUUUACCCUUUACUUUAAUUCUAAUUAUAAUUUCACUAAUUAAUUUGUUUCUCUUUUUUAAUAACUUCAAAAUCC